GCCUAGUUAGCUUAGUUGGUAGCGCGUCUGCCUUGUAAGCACAAGGCCGCGGGUUCGAUUCCCGCCCGGGGCG
rnacentral:tRNA from 1 species